GAUGAACGCUGGCGGCGUGCCUAAUACAUGCAAGUCGAGCGAACAGAUAAGGAGCUUGCUCCUUUGAAGUUAGCGGCGGACGGGUGGGUAACACGUGGGUAACCUACCUAUAAGACUGGGAUAACUUCGGGAAACCGGAGCUAAUACCGGAUAACAUUUAGAACCGCAUGGUUCUAAAGUGAAAGAUGGUUUUGCUAUCACUUAUAGAUGGACCCGCGCCGUAUUAGCUAGUUGGUAAGGUAACGGCUUACCAAGGCGACGAUACGUAGCCGACCUGAGAGGGUGAUCGGCCACACUGGAACUGAGACACGGUCCAGACUCCUACGGGAGGCAGCAGUAGGGAAUCUUCCGCAAUGGGCGAAAGCCUGACGGAGCAACGCCGCGUGAGUGAUGAAGGGUUUCGGCUCGUAAAACUCUGUUAUUAGGGAAGAACAAAUGUGUAAGUAACUGUGCACAUCUUGACGGUACCUAAUCAGAAAGCCACGGCUAACUACGUG
rnacentral:rRNA from 1 species